rnacentral:misc_RNA from 2 species
GUAUUGCGUGAUGGAUCCCUGCUCGGGCAGCGACAUCAUGGCAUCCGCGUCUCUUCAUUUGUUGGCACGAGCAUGUGCAUGCUCGUGCGGCGUUGGUUUUCCUGUGUUGGAUUCCCGUAUCGUGGCAUCCCCUGUCGGUUAAAAUGUCCCUCAGCCCCCUUGUGCUGCUGCUCCUCGCGGGCGAGCGGCGCGGGGUGGCCCUUAUAGCGCACGCCGUGUGUCCCCUCCCGUUCGCCCUGCAAGAAGGGCGUCCGGGCUGACGAUCCACGGCUUGAUGCUCGGUCUCUUGGGUACGGAACGUCGUGUGGGGUACGGGGCCGCCGGCCUCGGAGCACCACUAACACGCGUUCUACGCUUCGUGCGAACGACUGCCGGCCCGGUCUCCGGCUGGCCCUCGUGGCUCGGUUCGGAGCCGUGCCGGCGUCGGUGAGGAAUGCUACCU